CCUUAACCUGCUAACUAGGCGUGCGAGCGCAAGCUUGCGGCGCCUUCUUAGAGGGACUAGCUGCGACUAGCAGCGGGAAGUUUGAGGCAAUAACAGGUCUGUGAUGCCCUUAGAUGUUCUGGGCCGCACGCGCGCUACACUGAACAAGGCAGCAAGUGACUCCUUGGCCGGAAGGUCUGGGUAAUCUGUGCAAACUUGUUCGUGCUGGGGAUAGACCAUUGCAAUUGUUGGUCUUCAACUAGGAAUUCCUAGUAAGCGCGAGUCAUCAGCUCGCGUUGAUUACGUCCCUGCCCUUUGUACACACCGCCCGUCGGUAUUUCCGAUUGAAUGGUUUAGUGAGGCUUUUGGAUUGGCGUACCCGUAUGGGUGUGCCGAGAAAUUGGACGAACUUGAUCAUUUAGAGGAAGUAAAAGUCG
rnacentral:rRNA from 1 species